CCUACGGGGGGCAGCAGUGAGGAAUAUUGCACAAUGGGGGAAACCCUGAUGCAGCGACGCCGCGUGAGUGAAGAAGUAUCUCGGUACGUAAAGCUCUAUCAGCAGGGAAGAAAAUGACGGUACCUGACUAAGAAGCCCCGGCUAACUACGUGCCAGCAGCCGCGGUAAUACGUAGGGGGCAAGCGUUAUCCGGAUUUACUGGGUGUAAAGGGAGCGUAGACGGCGGCACAGGUCUGGGGUGAAAUCCCGGGGCUUACCCCGGAACUGCUUUGGAAAAUGUGCGGCUGGAGUGCAGGAGGGGUAAGCGGAAUUCCUAGUGUAGCGGUGAAAUGCGUAGAUAUUAGGAGGAACACCGGUGGCGAAGGCGGCUUACUGGACUGUAACUGACGUUGAGGCUCGAAAGCGUGGGGAGCAAACAGGAUUAGAUACCCUGGUAGUC
rnacentral:rRNA from 1 species